UGACAGGAAUAAGUGGUGUUUGAAC
rnacentral:piRNA from 1 species